UCCAGUAAGAUUCAAUAUUUUGGGCACUAGUUAAUUUAAUUUGGAAUUAAAUUAGAUCAUUUUUCCUUAAGGGACGUCUUGGACCAAGUAACUGCUGCAGCGGGGGAUUUCUUCAGUAGGGGCUUGAGCACUGCAAUCUCCUUCUAGGUUAGGACCUCGUCGCUUGGAAAGCGUACUGCCUCGCGGUUAGGACUCGUCAAGUAAAUCUCCAGGUAGAGGACGGGGCAAGGGCAAGGGCAAGCUGGCGAGCGACCCGAAGUGAGACCAUGGAGGGCCAUAGGGACUACCGCUUCCGCUUAUUCUUAUUUCAGAUUUUCGCAUUUGAAUUUGAGUACUUUUCAUCACCUACCAUCUUUUAUGUAGAUAGGGCCCGAGUAGGAUUUCAGAACGCUUUUACAUUUUUGCA